ACGAAUGUGGCCAUGAGGACUYCCUUCAGGUUCAGGGAGCCUCGGUUUGGGCGUUUGCGCGGUGGGGGACCCGCGGUCGGGCCYUGCCGGCGCAAGUCCUUCCAGGCUUCUGCAAUCCCGUCUGGAGUCCGCCAACGGCGGCCGUUCGCGGUCGAGGAGGGUCGUGGGGCAGGUGCCUCUUCGCCGACCCCUCGCGGGUUUGGGGAGGAGAGCUUACAGCCUUCGGCUCGGUGGACCGGGAACGGCCGAGGAGCGUUGCGACCAGUCGCACGGCGUARCGCAGGCCCCCGCACGGAGGGGCCGGGUCGCUUCUGCACUUGCGUGCCUCGCGGCGAGCCACUGCUCGCAGUGACAGCUGACGGUAGGUGCGCUUGUGCGGGACGCGGCCCACGAUUUGCUCUUCCGUCGUUGGUGUGCGUAUGGCUCCCUC
rnacentral:rRNA from 1 species